UACGUAGGGGGCAAGCGUUGUCCGGAUUUAUUGGGCGUAAAGAGCGUGUAGGCGGCUUUGCAAGUCCGUUGUGAAAACUCGAGGCUCAACCUCGAGACGCCGGUGGAAACUGCAAAGCUAGAGUCCGGAAGAGGAGAGUGGAAUUCCUGGUGUAGCGGUGAAAUGCGCAGAUAUCAGGUGGAACACCAGUGGCGAAGGCGGCUUUCUGGACGAUAACUGACGCUGAGGCGCGAAAGCGUGGGGAGCAAACAGG
rnacentral:rRNA from 1 species